CCUACGGGUGGCUGCAGUGGGGAAUAUUGGACAAUGGGCGGAAGCCUGAUCCAGCAACGCCGCGUGAGGGAUGACGGCCUUCGGGUUGUAAACCUCUUUCGCCUGUGACGAAGCGCAAGUGACGGUAACAGGUAAAGAAGCACCGGCCAACUACGUGCCAGCAGCCGCGGUAAUACGUAGGGUGCGAGCGUUGUCCGGAAUUAUUGGGCGUAAAGGGCUCGUAGGCGGUUUGUCGCGUCGGGAGUGAAAACCAGGUGCUUAACACCUGGCUUGCU
rnacentral:rRNA from 1 species